rnacentral:rRNA from 1 species
UGGGGAAUUUUGGACAAUGGGCGAAAGCCUGAUCCAGCAAUGCCGCGUGUGUGAAGAAGGCCUUCGGGUUGUAAAGCACUUUUGUCCGGAAAGAAAUCCUUGGCUCUAAUACAGUCGGGGGAUGACGGUACCGGAAGAAUAAGCACCGGCUAACUACGUGCCAGCAGCCGCGGUAAUACGUAGGGUGCAAGCGUUAAUCGGAAUUACUGGGCGUAAAGCGUGCGCAGGCGGUUUGCUAAGACCGAUGUGAAAUCCCCGGGCUCAACCUGGGAACUGCAUUGGUGACUGGCAGGGCUAGAGUAUGGCAGAGGGGGGUAGAAUUCCACGUGUAGCAGUGAAAUGCGUAGAGAUGUGGAGGAAUACCGAUGGCGAAGGCAGCCCCCUGGGCCAAUACUGACGCUCAUGCACGAAAGCGUGGGGGAGCAAAACAGGAUUUAGAUACCCCUGGUAGUCCACGCCCUAAACGAUGUCAACUAGUUGUUGGGGAUUCAUUUCCUUAGUAACGUAGCUAACGCGUGAAGUUGACCGCCU